GAUGAAGAACGUAGCGAAAUGCGAUACGUAAUGUGAAUUGCAGAAUUCAGUGAAUCAUCGAAUCUUUGAACGCACAUUGCGCCUGCCAGCACUCUGGCAGGCAUGCCUGUUCGAGCGUCAUUUCAACCAUCAAGCCCUAGGCUUGCGUUGGAGCCCUGCGGCUGCCGCAGGCCCCUAAAAGCAGUGGCGGGCUCGCUAUCACACCAGUGCAGUAGAUUACUCUUCGCUCAGGGCGUGUGGCGGGUUCCAGCCGUGAAACCCCCUACUUCUCAAGGUUGACCUCGGAUCAGGUAGGAAUACCCGCUGAACUUAAGCAUAUCAAUAAGCGGAGGA
rnacentral:misc_RNA from 1 species